rnacentral:rRNA from 1 species
UACGAAGGGAGCUAGCGUUGUUCGGAAUCACUGGGCGUAAAGCGCACGUAGGCGGAUGUGUCAGUCAGGGGUGAAAUCCCGGAGCUCAACUUCGGAACUGCCUUUGAUACAGCACGUCUUGAGUCCGAUAGAGGUGGGUGGAAUUCCUAGUGUAGAGGUGAAAUUCGUAGAUAUUAGGAAGAACACCGGUGGCGAAGGCGGCCCACUGGAUCGGUACUGACGCUGAGGUGCGAAAGCAUGGGGAGCAAACAGG